rnacentral:rRNA from 1 species
GUGGGGAAUUUUGGACAAUGGGCGCAAGCCUGAUCCAGCAAUGCCGCGUGCAGGAAGAAGGCCUUCGGGUUGUAAACUGCUUUUGUACGGAACGAAACGGCUCUGGUUAAUACCCGGGGCUAAUGACGGUACCGUAAGAAUAAGCACCGGCUAACUACGUGCCAGCAGCCGCGGUAAUACGUAGGGUGCAAGCGUUAAUCGGAAUUACUGGGCGUAAAGCGUGCGCAGGCGGUUUUGUAAGACAGGCGUGAAAUCCCCGGGCUCAACCUGGGAAUGGCGCUUGUGACUACAAAGCUGGAGUGCGGCAGAGGGGGAUGGAAUUCCGCGUGUAGCAGUGAAAUGCGUAGAUAUGUGGAGGAACACCGAUGGCGAAGGCAAUCCCCUGGGCCUGCACUGACGCUCAUGCACGAAAGCGUGGGGAGCAAACAGGAUUAGAUACCCUGGUAGUCC